CCGCGACCCCUCCCCCCGCUCGCCGCGACCCCUCCCCCCGCUCGUCGCGUCUCUCUUCUCCUGCGACGUCGCCGGAUUCAAGAUCUCCACCACGAUGGGAAUCACAAGCCAAGGGAGUGUGUCGAGGGCUCGAGGCUAUGGCGAUGUUGAUUCCCUUCCUAUCGUCGUCACCGUGUUUCACCACUUGUGGCAGGAAGCCAUGGCGGACGCAGAGAAGCCUCGUGCCGAGGAGGCGGCUCCAGCUGCAACGCCGGACAAGUGAUCCCGACGAGGUUCUUCAGCUUGAACAAGAGUCAGGAUUCUACUUCAACACCAAGUACUUUGAGGAGAAGGUCCAUGCUGGGGAAUGGGAUGAGGUGGAAAGGUAUCUCUCAGGUUUCACCAAGGUGGACGACAAUAGGUAUUCAAUGAAGAUGAUCAGGAAGCAGAAGUAUUUGGAAGCGCUUGAUAGGCAUGAUAGAGCAAAGGCCGUUGAUAUUCUUGUCAAGGAUCUUAAAGUCUUCUCGACAUUCAGUGAGGAGUUAUAUAAAGAGAUAACACAGCUUCUCACUCUUGAGAAUUUCAGAUUCUUUUUUCCUACCCCAUGUUAUCAUUAUUGUUUGUUUUCUCUUUUUCUUUAUGUGGAAGCCAUUCUGAAAGUUUCUUGUAAUUGAUGUUUGCCUCAUAUGGUCUUGUAAUGACGACAAGCGCAUCCGCGCCUCUAUGCCGUCCAUCAAGUUCCUCAUGGGAAAGGGUGCCAAGGUCGUCCUGCCAACCAUCUGGUGAGCAUAGGCUUCCACCAUUCAGCCUCCAUUGUGGCGCACGAUUGUAGCUGGGAGCAACACCAUAGGAUGGCCCAGCCACGCCUUGAUCGUAGACCUCACCGCAGAAUAAACAACCAGGCGUAGCUCCAUUUCAUUCUAUAAGCGUCCCAGGAUGUGUAUGCUAGCCUCCUCCGCUGCAUUUGCAGGCCGACGAGUCCAACUCCUCUGCGGUGCAGAUCACCCGCCUGCCACGCUGCGCAACUCAGGAUGCAGGCGAUCCUCCUCCGUGGCAAGGAACGUGGCGAGAUGGUGGGCUCCAAGGCCAUGGAGAUAUUGUUGCCCCUGCAGCUUGAGAUGUAAUUGGUCCAAAUGAAUAACCACCAUUUCGAAGGGACAAGGAAGGGAUUGUUGGUGCUCAGGGACGCCGCUCCCAACACCUUUAGCCUUGGCUCGAUGCCUCAGUUCGCACAGUCACGAGGUUUUCCGUAUCAGUUUCAUUUUGUUCACGGUGUUUUAUCAAUGAUGAUGUACUGCUUCAAAAUUUGUUCCGAUACUCUCCAAAUUUAUAUGACCCAAGAAUAUGUCCUGGAUCAAUGUUUUAUAUUCAGAAGUUCAUUCUUGUCAA